UGGCUUGGAUAAUUUGGAGAACCAAUGGUCAUUUUACUAUGGGAAAAUGGAGUGCCAUCUUCCUUCUGGAGAAUCUUUGAUGGGAAUUCCUGAAGACGGAACAAGCCAAGAGCAAAGGAUCAACUUCAGAAGAAGCAUGACAGAUUUGAGAUUUUUAGAAAACAAAAGGGCCGGCUGAGUGGCGCGAUGGUUAAGAGCUCGCUUGG